AUUGAACGCUGGCGGCAGGCCUAACACAUGCAAGUCGAACGGUAACAGGAAACAGCUUGCUGUUUCGCUGACGAGUGGCGGGCGGGUGAGUAAUGCCUGGGAAACUGCCUGAUGGAGGGGGAUAACUACUGGAAACGGUAGCUAAUACCGCAUAACGUCGCAAGACCAAAGAGGGGGACCUUCGGGCCUCUUGCCAUCGGAUGUGCCCAGAUGGGAUUAGCUAGUAGGUGGGGUAACGGCUCACCUAGGCGACGAUCCCUAGCUGGUCUGAGAGGAUGACCAGCCACACUGGAACUGAGACACGGUCCAGACUCCUACGGGAGGCAGCAGUGGGGAAUAUUGCACAAUGGGCGCAAGCCUGAUGCAGCCAUGCCGCGUGUAUGAAGAAGGCCUUCGGGUUGUAAAGUACUUUCAGCGGGGAGGAAGGGAGUAAAGUUAAUACCUUUGCUCAUUGACGUUACCCGCAGAAGAAGCACCGGCUAACUCCGUGCCAGCAGCCGCAGUAAUAC
rnacentral:rRNA from 1 species